rnacentral:rRNA from 1 species
AACGAACGCUGGCGGCGCGCCUAAUACACGCAAGUCGAGCGAGAAGGUGUAGCAAUACACUUGUAAAGCGGCGAACGGGUGAGGAAUACAUGGGUAAUCUACCAUCGAGUGGGGAAUAACCAACCGAAAGGUUGGCUAAUACCGCGUACGCCUCCGAGUCUUCGGGUUCGGAGGGAAAGCUGCACUGUGAGUGUAGCGCUCUUUGAUGAGCUCAUGUCCUAUCAGCUUGUUGGUAGGGUAACGGCCUACCAAGGCUUUGACGGGUAGCUGGUCUGAGAGGACGAUCAGCCACACUGGCACUGCGACACGGGCCAGACUCCUACGGGAGGCAGCAGUAAGGAAUAUUGCGCAAUGGGCGAAAGCCUGACGCAGCGACGCCGCGUGGGGGAUGAAGGCCCUCUGGGUUGUAAACUUCUUUUAUAGGGGACGAAAAAGGGAAUUACCUUCCCACUUGACGGUACCCUAGGAAUAAGCACCGGCUAACUCCGUGCCAGCAGCCG